AUUGAACGCUGGCGGCGUGCUUAACACAUGCAAGUCGAUCGGUAACAGGUGUCGCAAUACAUGCUGACGAGAGGCGGACGGGUGAGGAACGCAUAUGCAACCUACCUAUCAGAGGGGAAUAACCCGGCGAAAGUCGGACUAAUACCGCAUAAAACAGGGGCACCGCAUGGUGAUAUUUGUUAAAGAAAUUCGCUGAUAGAUGGGCAUGCGUUCCAUUAGGUAGUUGGUGAGGUAACGGCUCACCAAGCCGACGAUGGAUAGGGGAACUGAGAGGUUGGUCCCCCACACUGGUAGUGAGACGCGGACCAGAGUCCUACGGGAGGCAGGAGUGGGGAAUAGUGGUCAAUGGGCGAGAGCCUGAACCAGCCAAGGCGCGUGAAGGAAGAAGGAUCUAUGGUUCGUAAACUUCUUUUGCAGGGGAAUAAAGUGCGGGACGUGUCCUGUUUUGUAUGUACCCUGAGAAUAAGGAUCGGCUAACUCCGUGCCAGCCGCCGCAGUAAGAC
rnacentral:rRNA from 1 species